rnacentral:pre_miRNA from 1 species
UUUAAUUUUUGACUCUUCAUCUUAUUCAAAUUUUUUUUACGAUUGAUAUUUUUAUUUUUAUUAGAUGAUAAAUUAUGAAUAGUACUUUACGUGUGACUAUUUUUUCUUGAAACUUUAUCAAAUAAGACGGAUGGUCAAACGUUAGACACGGAAACC